GCUAUGAAUCGUUGAAGAAGCUACACAACAGUAGAAAAUGGUUUGUGGUCUGUACUUUUAUUGCAUCAAUGGUAAUGCAGUUAUAAGGUUCUUUGUUUUUGUUGUGCACCGAUCAGAUAGAAGAAUGGUGUAUCAAUGUCAUUGCAUCCAGUUAUUUGCUAUCGGUUUCCAUUUUUUGUUUGAUGAUGUUGCUUGGCCCUUGCUAAGUAAAGCACCAGUACCAGACAGUUGCAUAAACUGCUCAAAAGGGAACCAGACACCUUGCUCAUGUUUGUAACAGUUUGCUACAGAUCUUCUUAAUAAAACUCCAUGCUUUUGGUACCGCUCUCAUGAUAUAUUGGUUUUAGAAUGUAAAGACCAGCAAAAUAAAGUGCUUAUACAUGCCUGUAACAAUUUGCUGCUCUCUUUAUUGCCAAUGUUGCUGGUUUAGAGUUUUUCCAGGUGGCAUAUAGUUUUCUUACUGACAGUUUUUAAGCUUCAUUGUAUAUUACUGCUCUCUUUAUUAACAAUCAUCUAUAACUCUUAGUUCAUUGGUGUUAAAUGUUUUUGCAGAGUUACGGAUUUUCUUAAAUGUUUAAAAACCUUCUCAUAUAUAGUUCACUCCCCUACAUUUUUUAAUAGCUUAAUAAAGGAUCUGAUAGUCACGUGAAUUGGGCAACCUCAUUUUAAAUCAAAUAAUGACAAUUAUCUCUAAUUUCAUUGGUCCUCGUUUCCUUUCUAUUUACUACAUACCUCGCAUUACAUUUAUCCAUGUUUUCUGUUUCUACGUUUUGUUGUUGCUGAGCUUGAAGUGAGGCGGACUAUAAACUUCUAGGUGUUCUUCAUAGCUCUACACAUUUACAUACUCAAACAACUGAGUCGAGUAAACUUAGAAAAAAAGUUUUUUUAACCAAAUAUUUAGAAAGAAAUUUUGUUCAUCCUCUUCUCUCCCAUCACCACGGUCAUUUCCCUUCAUCUUAUCUCUGACAAGGAGCUAGAACUGAUGAUUAUAUAUGAACUAAGGGUAGUCGGAUUAAAAUAAAUGUUUUACCCAAAUUGUUCUUCUGUAGGGUUCAUUGUUUUUUAUAGCAUGGUGUAUGAAUUAUUUGUGGUUGAUUAAACAAGUCAGCAUUAUGGUUCACACAUUGAAAGGGGCAUACAAGGUGUGUUGUUUUUCAUGUAUCCAUUCACUUAAAUAAACUAAUUUAGGGAACAGUUCCUCUUAUGUACUAAUGGGCAUAAAGUUGAGGUGAUAAAACCCACUUUAUCUUCCCUGUUGUUAUUUUAUUUUGCAGAUAAUAAGCAAUGGUUAAUUUUAAAGGAACUUCAGAUUUGAUAUUAGUUAACUGAUGUUCUUUGUCCAGCGUGCUUUGUUUGGCAUCAGGAUUCGUCGUUUUAAUGUAACUUAACUACUUAAGAUUUGAUAUUAGUUACCUGAUCUUCAAAUAGUCAUUUAGUUGUCAUUGGUGAAUAUGGGCCACUAUGGUAAUCGACAUGUUGAGGAAACAUGUAGGCUCUAGCUUUUUUGUUGAGCUGGGAUGUCUUUUGAAGUGUUCAAAUAUCAGAUAUGUGUUCAAAGGAACUGUAUAGAAGUGUAUAUUGUCAUGGUGUAGUGAAGGAUGAUUCUGAAAAUCUGAGACCAUGAUUCUUUGCGUGCAUAGUUUUAUAUAUUUUCAGUGCAUUGUGAGAUUUAGUUCAGUGUAGUUUUAUAUACUCUUCUUAUGUUGAUUUGCUUGGUUUGCUCGCUUCAGGGAGGAGAGGUUUCAGAGUUCAAGCCGUUUCAAAGUAGAAACAGUGGAGGGCUAAGUUGUGUUGCAACUUCUUUUCAGCCCUAGUUGGUACACAUGAAAGCAAGCAGGGAAUUAUGAUGCUUAGUUACUGCCCAAAGUCCCGAAGUGAAUACCUCUUAUUUGUUGUCCAGAAUACCGAAGUGAAUACCUCUAUUUACUUUCUUCAUCAUGAAUGGUGUUGCUGUCCAGAAUA